rnacentral:rRNA from 1 species
AUUGAACGCUGGCGGCAUGCCUUACACAUGCAAGUCGAACGGUAACAGGCCGCAAGGUGCUGACGAGUGGCGAACGGGUGAGUAAUGCAUCGGAACGUGCCCAGUCGUGGGGGAUAACUGCUCGAAAGAGCAGCUAAUACCGCAUACGGCCUGAGGGUGAAAGCGGGGGACCGAAAGGCCUCGCGCGAUUGGAGCGGCCGAUGUCAGAUUAGGUAGUUGGUGGGGUAAAGGCUCACCAAGCCGACGAUCUGUAGCUGGUCUGAGAGGACGACCAGCCACACUGGGACGGAGACACGGCCCAGACUCCUACGGGAGGCAGCAGUGGGGAAUUUUGGACAAUGGACGCAAGUCUGAUUCAGCCAUGCCGCGUGCGGGAAGAAGGCCUUCGGGUUGUAAACCGCUUUUGUCAGGGAAGAAAAGGCUCCUUCUAAUAUAGGGGGCUCAUGACGGUACCUGAAGAAUAAGCACCGGCUAACUACGUGCCAGCCGCCGCCGUAAUAC